UCCGAUGCUAUUCUAGAGAUAGAAAGUUACUUCGGUACAUCGGUGACAGGUGGUGCAUGGUUGUCGUCAGCUCGUGUCGUGAGAUGUUGGGUUAAGUCCCGCAACGAGCGCAACCCCUAUUGUUAUUGCCAUCAUUCAGUUGGGCACUCUAGCGAGACUGCCGGUAAUAAACCGGAGAAGGUGGGGAUGACGUCAAAUCGUCAUGCCCCUUAUGACCUGGGCUACACACGUGCUACAAUGGUUGGUACAACGAGUUGCGAGUCGGUGACGGCGAGCUAAUCUCUUAAAGCCAAUCUCAGUUCGGAUUGUAGGCUGCAACUCGCCUACAUGAAGUCGGAAUCGCUAGUAAUCGCGGAUCAGCACGCCGCGGUGAAUACGUUCCCGGGCCUU
rnacentral:rRNA from 1 species